rnacentral:piRNA from 1 species
UAUAUAUAAUUGAUAAAGGUCUCCUCAAG